CGUAGUUGGCCGGAGCUUCUUCUGGAGGUACCGUCAUUUUCUUCCCUCCUGAAAGCGGUUUACAACCCUAAGGCCGUCAUCCCGCACGCGGUGUCGCUGCAUCAGGCUUUCGCCCAUUGUGCAAUAUUCCCUG
rnacentral:rRNA from 1 species